CCAUCUACUCCUCAUCUCAAACCCUGCUCCACGAUAACUGACUACUCUCAGUGGUAAAUCAGUCGGCUGCUCCUGAGCAGCCCCCUGAGAUCUCGUGGAAGCACCUUGCCUGCGUUUGGUGCCUGACGAGGAACCUUCACCUGGCAUCCUGGAAACGCAUACCUGAGAUUCGCUUGAAAUAAGAAAAACGAGAAGAAAAUUCGGUUGAACCUUGAUCCCCACAGCUGAAUUCGAUGUUUAUGAGGAAAAAAAUGGUAGAAUGAUGGAUGGAAUCGGGUGUUUGAGGGUGAUGUUAGUGGAUAAAGGUGGGAAUAGGUGAUAAGGAGGGUGAUCGGUGGGUGAAAAGGGUGGGUAUCAGUGGGGAUGUUUGAGGAACUAAUUUAGUUAAUUUAUUGCAAAAAAAAUAGUCACGAACUAAUUUAUUUAUUUUUUUGUUUGAGGAACUAUCCACUCGGUUGGACGGUGGAGGGGAAGUAGGUGAGAGGAAGGGUUGUCGGCGAGAUAGGGUGGAACAAUGGGAGAAGGUUUGUGAAGGAUUGGUGAUGUGAUUUUAAGUGGUCAUGGAGGUUGGAGG
rnacentral:lncRNA from 1 species